rnacentral:tRNA from 1 species
GGGGAUAUAGCUCAAUGGCAUAGCAUCUGCCUGGCAAGCAUGAGGUCUUGAGUUCGAUUCCUGAUACCA